rnacentral:lncRNA from 1 species
UCUGCUUUCUUAAGAAAGUAACAGCAUAUUCAAUGUUGGAGAUUGGAAGUAAAAAAAUCUUUGUAUUGUGCUAUCUGAAGUUAAACUAUACAUGCCGUGUGUUGCUUUUGUUUUAGUCAAAUUAUAUAUAUUUGUUUAUUCAACUUUUCUAAUGUUUGAAUGUUUUUAUCUUUUUACCGGAACUUAAUGCUUUCAAAAAUCUGUUAUUCUUUUUUCGAAAAAAUAUAUCAUACUUCCACAAAUAUCUUCAAAAGUGUUUAGAAAGUGGAAAAUAUCCAUAACACAUCUAUUUAUGUAUCGUUUAUUCAGGCAUUUUUUUCUAUCUACUACCGUUCCUGUUUUCAAAAUAACAUAUAAUAUACAUGUACAUGAUAAGGACAUGCCAAAAUAAGUAUAACAACAAAUGUGCCAAAAGAGAUAUAGUACUAGAUCACGUCUUUUCGAUUGUGUUGUUAUCAUAGUGAACUCAACAUAGUUUCUCUUUUAUACUGAUUGGUACUUUAAAAAUACAAUAUAGCAUAACUUCUUGUGUAAACAUUAAAGAGUUGGCAGGUCUUUUAAUAGUAUUGUUAUUAUAGAAUUUGCAUUAUUCACGUAUAUAUAUACGUACACGGAUCUACGUAUACAUAUCGGACAGAUUUGUUUAUAUAUAAUAACAUGAAUAAUGAUGUAAUCCCGAUCACAGUUCUAACUUUUUGCUGUACAACAUAUUUUUAUCUGGACCAAUUUGACUUAAUUUAUCCUUUCCUCGUGUACGUGUUAAACGACAUGUCGAUACGGAUACGCAAGCAAACACGUGAAUUAUGCAAAUGCUCUAAAACAAGGCAUGUUAAAAGCGCAUCAUAUAACAAUACAAUUACUGUAAGCGUUUAACAUAUUAAAAAAGUAUGCACAAUUUGUACAUACACUAAAUGAAAAAAAACUAUUUAGCAUACAAAAUCAUUCAUAGAUGUUUUCAAAUUAUAAUGGUGCACUAUGUUUUUCAGUACGUGUGUAUUCUGUUGCGUAAUAUUAUCUGAUUUUUAUUAUUAACAUACAUAUUUUGAGAUGAAAAUUGGACUUUGUUUACAAAAAUGAAUAAGAAAGAAUUCAUUAUUUUUGUAAAGUCAAUUACAAUUUUUCUUCCUCAUCUAUUUUUUUUUUGUUACCAAAUCUCCAUCGUUAAAAUGUUUACUUAUUCAAAUUAAUUGAAAAACACAGUAAAUUACUUUUCCAUGCCCAGGAUAGCUUAACAACAGCAACCAAAACAAAGCCCAGUUGAUGUCAGAUCCCCAUGUAUUGUAGCGCAUGUGCACUCGAUAAUCAGACUAAUUCGAUGAUGUCACAUUCGACAAAGAAAAAUGUUCAUAUUUUACAUGUUUUAAAGUGUAAGACAUAGAAAGAACAUGUAUAUGCAUUUGUAAGUUUUAAUGAUAUUUCUGCAGAAAGUU